rnacentral:misc_RNA from 1 species
GAUGAAGAACGUAGCGAAAUGCGAUAAGUAAUGUGAAUUGCAGAAUUCAGUGAAUCAUCGAAUCUUUGAACGCACAUUGCGCCCGCCAGUAUUCUGGCGGGCAUGCCUGUCUGAGCGUCAUUUCAACCCUCAUGCCCCUAGGGCGUGGUGUUGGGGAUCGGCCAAAGUCCGCGAGGGACGGCCGGCCCCUAAAUCUAGUGGCGGACCCGUCGUGGCCUCCUCUGCGAAAUAGUGAUAUUCCGCAUCGGAGAGCGACGAGCCCCUGCCGUUAAACCCCCAACUUUCCAAGGUUGACCUCAGAUCAGGUAGGAAUACCCGCUGAACUUAAGCAUAUCAAUAAGCGGAGGA